GCCAGGCGCGGUGGCGCGUGCCUGUAGUCCCAGCUACUCGGGAGGCUGAGGUGGGAGGAUCGCUUGAGCCCAGAAGUUCUGGGCUGUAGUGUGCUAUGCCAAUUGGGUGUCCGCACUAAGUUCGGCAUCAAUAUGGUGACCUCCUGGGAGCGGGGGGACCACCAGGUUGCCUAAGGAGGGGUGAACGGGCCCAGGUCAGUAAUGGAGCAGGUCAAAACUCCCGUGCUGAUCAGUAGUGGGAUCGCGCCUGUGAAUAGCCACUGCACUCCAGCCUGGAAAACAUAGCGAGAACUCAUCUCU
rnacentral:SRP_RNA from 1 species